AUCGGGAGUUGGAUCGGUCAUGCCUCUCGUAUUGCUUUCCAACUGAUUUCUUCGCACAAAGAUAAAAUGUUUCUUAUCCUUUCAUCUAGUGUACUUAGCUUCAUUUUAUUAGUUCAUUAUAAUUUUUUUUAGAUGAAGGACAAACCGGAUUAGAUCAUUACAAAUUUUCCUAGUUUUUGCACAGUUCUAUUUGGUUGCUACUUGACAUUUGUUUUUUAAUUUCAGUAUCUCUGAACUCUGAUCCCUCUUUCUGUAAUUCUGUCUCAUGACUAAGUAAUGGCUCAACGACUUCCGUAAGCAAUAUUAAUGCCACCUAUUUUGGUACGGGUGUAACACUGUGAGGUUGAUGUGAUUGUAUUCACUUAUCAAAGCAUGUGGAGGUGCCAACUAUCAUUAUUAUGUGAACGAUGCAGCAAGUGGCAACCGGUAAAAGUUCAGUAGCAAUCAAAAGCACAUACUUCUAGAGCUAUACAAAGCACAUUAUUAGAAUUCUGAGUGCAGGAAGAGUCCAAGUCAUGACAGUGAAGGAGCGUUAGUUAGGAGUAGCUAUCACACACGAACCAAUGACCAACCUAACAUGAACGCUGCGGAUUCCUAUGAGGAGAAGUUGCCCACUAACAGCCUUGCCCCAGCCCUUUGGGGUUGAGAGUAGUAGCCGUGCACUUGUUCAUCUUCUCCUCAGAUGAGCAGUCACAGAUCCAAUGGACGAGACCGUAGCGCACUAGUUCUUCACGUUACUAGUCCAAUAACGAUUUAGUUUCCUCCUUGAUGUGGCCUCACCAAAAGGCUUGGUUUUUAGCUAGGGUUUGAGCAGAAUGGAAAUUAGCUACGGCUGUUCAUAGACGCAGCGCAGGGAAGUUGUCCGAUGAUGCCAGCAAUGACACCGGCUAUUGUUUGUCCAUUUCAUCCAUCUCUACUCAUGCCCAAAUUCAGGCGCCAUCUAGCGCUAUAGGAAAGGGCGCAUACUAAAGAUGGUACGCUGAUGGGGUGGCGUGACGAUUUCGAUAAAAUUUCAUCACCAUACAAAAAUUUCAACUUUGAUUUAAAUUCAUGGGCAGUUGGCUCGUCCCCCGACCAAGAGAAAACCAUCCAUAACCCUAAUUGCAAAAGUUCACAUGAUGGCCCAAAUUUAUCGAUUUCGACUGAACUUGCGUGCUGCUGACGGGCUCAAGUUCAAAGAGGAGGGGGAAAUAAAAGAAUCUGAGAAACCCUGCUUUAUCGGUAACCUCCACUAGAACUUUGCGCGCUAAAGCCGAGCGCGAUCGACCGAUCAAGCUGUCGUUUUUAGUCUCGGCCGUUUCGGCUUCACCACUCGACGCCGUCUCCGAGUGAUCUCCUUCCUUCCGCCAUGGCCGCCGCCCGCGCCUCCUCUAGUUGCCUCCUCCUGCCACUACUGCUCUGCUCGCACCUGACGAUCGCCCUCGCCUCGCCGGCGGAGGCGCGCCUCCCGGGGGGUCAGCUCCUGGCCGAGGCGCGCGCGCCGGGGUUCGCCGCGUGGCUGCGCGGCGUGCGGCGGAGCAUCCACCGGCGCCCCGAGCUGGCCUUCCAGGAGCACCGCACCAGCGAGCUCGUGCGCGCCGAGCUCGACGCGAUCGGCGUGCCGUACAGGUGGCCCGUGGCCACCACCGGCGUCGUGGCGACCAUCGUUGGCGGUGGGGCAGGCGGCGGCGCCGGGCCCGUCGUCGCGCUCCGGGCCGACAUGGACGCGCUCCCCGUGCAGGAAUUAGUCGAUUGGGAAUACAAGAGCCAGGAAAGUGGGAAAAUGCAUGCUUGUGGACAUGAUGCACACACAGCAAUGCUUCUGGGGGCUGCUAAGAUACUUCAAGAUCACAAGAGUGAUUUGAAGGGCACUGUAAAGCUUGUUUUCCAGCCAGCAGAGGAGGGUCAGGGUGGUGCAUAUUAUGUCCUGCAAGAAGGUCUUCUUGAUGACGUGUCAGCCAUCUUUGGCUUGCAUGUUGACCCAGUCCUUCCAGUAGGCGUCGUUGCAUCAAGGCCAGGACCCUUUGCUGCAACAGCAUGUCGAUUCCAAGCAACUGUUACUGGUAAAGGUGGGCAUGCUGCACUACCCCACCAAGCCUUUGAUCCAACUGUAGCUGCAUCCACUGCCAUCCUCAGCCUUCAACAAAUUGUCUCCCGGGAAAUAGAUCCUCUCCAAGGCGCGGUUGUAUCGGUCACUUUCGUGAAAGGAGGAGAUGCUUAUAAUGUUAUUCCGGAGUCAGUGACCUUUGGUGGCACCUUGAGGAGCAUGACAAAUGAAGGUUUAUCAUAUCUCAUGAAGCGAGUUAUAGAGAUUGUAGAAGGACAGUCAGCGUUACAUCGCUGCACCGCGACUGUGGACUUCAUGGAGGAGAAAAUGAGAACAUAUCCGGCUGUGAUCAACGAUGAAGGGAUAUACGCCCAUGCCAAGGCAGUGGCUCAGAGCUUGCUCGGGGAAGAGAACGUCAAGGUCGCGCCACAGCUGAUGGGAGCGGAGGAUUUUGGGUUCUACGCGCAGAGAAUGGCUGGCGCCUUCUUCACCAUUGGAGUCGGCAACAAGAGCACCAUGGUGACCGUCCAUUCCACCCACUCCCCCCACUUUGUGAUUGAUGAGGACGUGCUUCCCAUAGGAGCUUCGUUCCAUGCUGCCGUGGCAAUUGAAUACUUGAAGAAACAUGCAUCGGCCUGAAAAAAAUGAAUGCGAAAAACAGGCUUGUUUGGAUACUUCGGGCAUGCUGCAGCUAUGCUUUUCGUGGAGGUUCUUCAAGACAGGCAGUUGGUCUUCAGAUGCUCAGGAGUCAGGACCUGCAUGUUACUCUCAUUGAUGGAAAGAAAAUGAUGUAAUAGAGAAACGAAAUCUUCAAGAAAUCCUACCCGUAUCUUUUCUUUUCUCGAAUAGAUAAAGGAAAGCUGCGCAUAUUUGUAUUAAGAAGAAGAAUACGGUGCGAUUACAAAGUCUCGAGUCCUGAGCUAUUACAUCACAGGAUCAACCCAAGCGAUUACAUGACAGAGAUGUAUCCUCUGGUUCUUUUCCCAGAUAAUACUGGUUAUUACUGAACAAACUCAUCAGCUUGCCUUCGUGCA